rnacentral:lncRNA from 1 species
GAUUGUGUCAAGGGAGCUCCGCUUCUAUUUACUUGCAACUGGCCUCAUCCUGUGCUGCGUUUGUUACAAGCUAGUUAGUCGUCUGUGCCAUUGCAGCCCGCUUAAAUCACUAACCUGAUACCAAUUCUUCGCAAAUACUCGUGUUGUCUACGCAAAGCUCGAGGAGUCAAAGGUGGACGAUAGUCUUUAGUUCUAUCACCUGCCGCAAGACAACACAAAGCAAACAGUGUGUGAGCCACAAGCUUGGAGCAUGGCGAGAAAACAAAUCUCACACCUGGGCUGCGAGUACACAGUGGUGAGUUUGGUGGAAAAGCCUCAGUCCUCGGCCGUGCCGUUCGCCUGGAGCACCUAAUCAAAACUAAUACUUUAACACACAAGAAAAAGUAAAGGAAGAACAACAUCGAAAAGUCUCACCUUUUCCAAGUGUUGGCCUCAUAAAAUGAAUUUCACCCUCCACACCCACCGCGAGCAAUUGCACGUCGAUCGAUUCUUUAAACCUCGUCGCGAAAUCCCACUCCAGCGCGAGGUAGCCGAUGGGAUUCCAGGCAGCUAC